rnacentral:tRNA from 1 species
GGAGAGGUGUCCGAGCGGUCUAAGGAGCACGACUGGAAAUCGUGUAUACGUCUAAAGCGUAUCGCGGGUUCGAAUCCCGCCCUCUCCGCCA